UGCUAAGUUUUGCAGCUUUUAAGAGAGAGAUAUGCAAAGGAAGUGUUGCCAAAACUCAAAAAUCCACUGUUUUGAAAAACAAAGGGAAUCAGAUACAGUUGGAUCAUAACUGUGAGCUGUUGGAUUGCAUUGUUCAAAUUAGCGGACAGAUUGAGUCAGGGGAACACAGUGAGGUGCUCGAGUUGUGUGAGACUGCUAAGAAAAAGAUUGAACGUCGCAAUAAACUGAUAAAAAACUGGCAGACAAGUCACCUAGUGGUUGGUUUACUGUACACGAAUAUGAGCAAGACGAUUUAGCCAGCGAUGAUGAGGAUUUAAAGAGAAUUAAAAAGGCUGAGAAAGCAGCUGCGUCCAUUAUCAAACAGCGCAAUGAAGCAAAGAAAGCGAACAGAAGGUUCAUAAAUGUUUCAGAUUCUGAUGUAUGAUAUGCCAGGAAUGCUUGUUUAAAAAAAAAAAUAA